GCACUGCUGAGGAGUCCUUCAAUAGAACGAAACAGCCGUCCAGUGC
rfam:Schistosoma mansoni, Puerto Rico, WGS project CABG01000000 data, contig: 0198